GACGUAGGAUGCAAGCGUUGUCCGGAUUUAUUGGGCGUAAAGAGUUCGUAGGCGGUUCGUUAAGUCUGAUGUUAAAGACUGGGGCUCAACCCCGGGAGUGCAUUGGAUACUGGCGGACUGGAGUGUGGUAGAGGCUAGUGGAAUUCCCAGUGUAGCGGUGAAAUGCGUAGAUAUUGGGAAGAACACCAGUGGCGUAGGCGGCGUUCUGGACUGCAACUGACACUGAUGAACGAAAGCCAGGGGAGCAAACGGG
rnacentral:rRNA from 1 species